UGAUAUGGAAUAACAUGAGGUAGAAUAGUUAGAUGGUGAUAUGGAAUAACAUGAGGUAGAAUAGUUAGAUGGUGAUAUGGAAUAACAUGAGGUAGAACAGUUAGAUCUAACUAGAUGGUGAUAUGGAAUAACAUGAGGUAGAAUAGUUAGAUGGUGAUAUGGAAUAACAUGAGGUAGAAUAGUUAGAUGGUGAUAUGGAAUAACAUGAGGUAGAACAGUUAGAUGGUGAUAUGGAAUAACAUGAGGUAGAAUAGUUAGAUGGUGAUAUGGAAUAACAUGAGGUAGAAUAGUUAGAUGGUGAUAUGGAAUAACAUGAGGUAGAACAGUUAGAUGGUGAUAUGGAAUAACAUGAGGUAGAAUAGUUAGAUGGUGAUAUGUAAUAACAUGAGGUAGAAUAGUUAGAUGGUGAUAUGGAAUAACAUGAGGUAGAACAGUUAGAUGGUGAUAUGGAAUAACAUGAGGUAGAAUAGUUAGAUGGUGAUAUGGAAUAACAUGAGGUAG